CAACAAAUGAGGGGCUUUCAUCAUCUCGCCUGGAGCCGCUUACCUUCCCAUAUAUAUUGAAUAGCAUGAUUUUCAGGAAUUGCUUUGCGUUGCUCAGUCUUGUUGUUUUUAUUGGGUACUCGGUAUUGUUCAGACCCUCCUGUAAAAGGUGCAGUUGAGCUGACACACCUGCGUGAGUACACGCAGAAUCUAUUCCGUCUCUUCUUAUUUCAGGGUGGUGGGGGCAGGAUGGCUUAGAACUAAAAUCACACCCAGCACAGAGUAACAUGGUUUCAUCUACGCAGAAGAGCUUGCCCCACUAUCCAAGGGUGCUAAGAUAGUGGAAAGGGUUAAUUAAGGGAUACCUCUAGCCCCUUUCCCUUGCCUCUCUCACCACCAUUUCAGUUUCCUUCUGUUUUGAUGGAUUCGCAGUGAUGCCCCCCCCCCCAGGAGAAAAGACCAUCGCUUCUGUUACAGUGUGCAUAAUAAGACCACCCAUUCCUGAAGCACAAGGAAAACCCGUCGGAUCGCUUACUUAAAUGCUUUUUAACACUUGCAGAGUAUCAACUGACAAAGACCAGCUACCAUUCCUACCAGGACAAAACUGUGAUCCCGCCAAUCAUGGAUGAUUUCUGACUGACACAAAUCACCUUUCUUCAAAAACCAGCAUUAACAACGCAAGAUUAAAGAUCUUGGACUGGGGACAAAAAAACAUACAAUCUAAAUCUGUGAAUGGAAAACUCCAAAAGGAAAAGAAAACCCUCUUCUGCCAAGGAGGAGAAAGUUCACGCUCGUGCAACUGGGCACGUUUUAAAUAAGAUAAUCUCAGGUCCAUGAUUAUUUGUUUCAGGCUUUUUAUUAUUAAAAAGACCUGCAUUAAAGUCUCAGUACCUCGGAGGGUGAUUGGUGCCUCCAAACUGCUUACAGCAAACACCAGGAUAAAAUCGGUCCUAGCGGUGAGAUCCCACAAGCAGUUCGCCUGAUCAAGAAGACUGGGGGUGUAGGGAAUCGAGAAAAAGCAUGCUACCCCUAAAAAUCCAGGCAAUUACGUUAGAACACAUAUUGGAUGGACUUGGUACCCUACCUGACGGUCUCAUUCCCCCUGAUAAUGUUUGGGGGGCUCCUGUAAUUCACUCUUCACCUGUACUUUUAACAAAAAAAUUGCUACCAAGGUUUUAACCCAUAGUGGAUUGACUGCUUGCUUCCAUACUAUUAAGAAGAAAUAAAGCUUUUUGGAUCAGGGGAUGCCAUCUGUCUCCUCUGAUCCAAAAGAAUUCACAUGAAGUUAUAGGUUUUUUUUUUCUUUAUGCAUUUAUAUUUCUUUACUAUUGAAUUCCUGGAAAUCCCAUUGCUUGUUUAUUGUGCGGUUAUUCAUACAGGCAUUUCAGCCGUCUUUGCCGUGAAGUUAUCCUGUAAAGCAGAAAGUGUAUUGCGAAGACCUGCUUGGAGCGAACAGGUUCCGUGUUUCCGGUAGAUAAUGCCCAGGGUUUUUUUUAAUUCACAUAAGCUGCCUUUAUAUGCUUUUGCACCAUAUUAUGACUAAAUUGGGUAUCAUUUUUAUUGUAUUUAUUAGACCUUUUAACACAAUAACGAAGUUUUUACUGCCAGGAAGCCUCAAAGCUUUCUCGCAUGCCCCCUUUUACUGCGUUCCCGACCUGGGGGGUCACAGAGUCUGUGUAAUUCUAUGCAGAGCAAUGUUUUGCAGGCGACUGUGGAAGUGGAUGGAUUAAGCGCAAAGAUAGCAUAUGCUGCUAUUUAUAAUUCUAACCAUAUACCCUCUUCCCCCAUUUAAUUUUCUGUUGCAUUUUAACUGAACUGUAUGGGAGCAAUAGUAUUUCAUGAUGUUUUACCUGCAUCGGUAUAUUGUACUGUAUUUUUGUAUCUGCAAGGCAGCUGUAUAGUGUGUCCGGCUGUAUGAAACGUGUUUUGUUUUUGCUCUUUUCCUUCGAUAUUCGCAGCAGAUCUCGGUCUAUGCAGGGUUUUGUUGCAGAUCGUUGCUUCCUUGCUAUUAUUUUUUUUUUUGCCUGUUAAUAAGAAAUGAGUGGCAUGGCACAGCUGAAUAUAUAUAUAUUUGAUAUACUGCCAGCAGUUUUGUGGGUUCUCUUAAAAUUCUAUCUAGACCUGCAUCUUUAUGCUCCGCGUGUCAGACCGUUGACACCAUUUGUCAUGUUAUAAACUAAAAGUAGUCUGAUGUGCUUCGAGAUGAAGGGAGGCAUGUACCCCACUUCCACAUGGCAUGGCAGCCUUUGUUAAAGGAACCCCCGGCUGAGCAUUGCUCUGCACAGAGGGGCCAAGGAACUUGGUGGGAAUGUCUUGUCCCAAUAGCCAUAAACUACAGCUGGGUGGAUCGUUGACACCGUGCAGGGUCUUCAGCUGUGGGUUGCGAAGGGAACCUUGGCUCAGUCCUAAUCCAUAAUAAAUAGCCAACCCCCAUCAGCCUUGUAGGCACUAUAUAAUGCGUAGGGAGUUGCAAGUUUUGGGAAAUCUACCUAAACAACUCUUUGUUUCUUUGAUAAUAUUACCAAAGCUUAAAUGUAACAAAUGGCAUGUGUUUUCCCCACUAAGAACUGAAAUGGCUUAAAUGUUAAUAAAUGUCUAAUACUGCGGGACAUGUGAAGUAUCAGUUCUGUAUCGGUUAAAGCAAAUAGCUCGCGUCCCUCAGUCAGAAAAUGGGUUUAUUUCCCCAUCAUUUAGAUUGACACAUUGAUGCUUUUAUAUUUAAGUAAUUAAAUCCAUGUAUGUAGAUGAACUUAUGUUUUAUGUUUUAUCUUUGCUGUUACAAAAAAAGAAUAGUAGUAAUGAUGGCAUUUAGUAUGUUAAUUAAUCGCAGAACCCCCCAGAUAAUCUCAGUAUCUUGAAUGUAAUGUCUCGGCACAGGUAUGCACAGAGAGAAGAAAGACAGGUCAAAUCUAUAAAAAAAUCAUUUUUUUCCCUCCCAGGCUGAAACUCCUCUCCUUUAGUGGUAUGGUUUAGACAACACGGCCCUGGGGUUUUAUCAUAACACACACUGCCCUUGUACGCAGCUAACCCAUAGUAUCAAAUACUUGUAUAAAAAAAAAUCAUAAACUCAGAUGUUAUCUGUAAAUGUUGUAUAGCCUCUUAAAAAAAAUAUAUAUCUGUAUAUAAAUAUA